rnacentral:rRNA from 1 species
CGCGUAGGCGGAUGACAUAGUCAGAUGUGAAAUUCCUGGGCUCAACCUGGGGACUGCAUUUGAUACGUGUUGUCUUGAGUGUGGAGGAGGGUCGUGGAAUUCCCAGUGUAGAGGUGAAAUUCGUAGAUAUUGGGAAGAACACCGGUGGCGAAGGCGGCGACCUGGUCCAUAACUGACGCUGAGGCGCGAAAGCGUGGGGAGCAAACAGGAUUAGAUACCCUGGUAGUCCACGCUGUAAACGAUGUGCGCUGGAUGUUGGGUGACCUAGUCACUCAGUGUCGUAGCUAACGCGAUAAGCGCACCGCCUGGGGAGUACGGCCGCAAGGUUGAA